GUGACUGUUUUUGAAGGAUUUUUGUUAAUCGAAAAAAUGGACAAUAUACAUUCCACACUCCGUUCAGAAUCUACAAAUAUGAUCAUCCUUAGGGUAUUAAGGUCAACAAAACAAAAAUACGAAAUAUGUUCGAACUUUGUUUUCAGUUGUGAUAUAAAGAAGCUCGGCGUAACACAUUGACAUGGAACUAUCGAGACGACAGUGAUUACUAAAAUUCCCGACCGUGUCAGGGAUAGAGGCCAAAAUAAAAUCAGCUGACACCACCUGCACUACACCGACGGUAAUCGUGGGCAACAGGUGUGCGCUUCCCCUCUCUGCAGAAGGAUUACCUGUAGCCGGUUCCUCGGAUUUACCUAACGUCAACGGCAUUAAUUAAUCGUGGGAUA